AUACGCAGUGGAGUCACCCAAGGGGCAAAAAAAGAAACAGAGUCCAGUGGAGAAACAUAAAGACAAAACACAAAAUGCCCAAAAUUAACUAGAAGAGAGAUAGAGAGGAAGCUUAUCACAUUGUAAAAGCACGAACUUUGAGAAGAGCCUUCAGAGACCCUAAAGAUCCCCCCUCAGAAAUAAAUAAAGGCUAUAACUACUUUAUGUUAUAAUACAACAGUUCCAGCAAUCAAUAAACCUCAGUCCAGAGUAUUUUUGGGGCUUUAGGAUAUAAAACCAGAGAGACAGACAAGACAAUCUCAAGGUUAUUUGUUUCUUCAGACAUAAUGAACCACCACCACCAUUUCGUUCCUGACUUCGAGACAGAUGAUGAUUAUGUCAACGCUAACACAAACUCUUCUUCUUCAAAUCUUCCUAGAAAACCCAUCAUAGGUGAAGAAGAAGAUGGUGAUCUCAUGGAGCUUCUAUGGCACAACGGUCAGGUGGUUCUCCAAAAUCAAAGACCAAACACCAAGAAACAACCUCUUUCUUCCUCUGCUGCUGUCAAACUUCACAACGGAGCUCCUCCCCCGCCGUUGGAUCAUAAUCUCUUCAUCCAGGAAGACGAAAUGUCCUCAUGGCUUCAUUAUCCUCUCGGUUCCAAUGAUUUCUGCUCAGAUCUUUUCUUCCCCGCCGCCAGGCCACCGGUACCGUCGUCUGUGAGGCCGCCGGAACCGUCGUCUAUGAGGCCACCGGCACCUUCCCCGGUGAGGCCACCAGCACCGUCGUCUGUGAAGCCUCCGGUACGGAACUUCAUGAACUUCUCGAGGCUGAGAGGGGAUUUCACCGGCCGUAACGGUAGAGGAGAAUCUGGACCGUCGAUUGCGAAGUCGACUGUGAGAGAAUCGGCGAAAGUAAACCCUAGCGCCACACCGGCGUCGUCGGCAGCGAGGGAACCCGAUCUAACACGGCGGACAGACGGCGCUGACAGUCGAGGGGCGGGUGAUUUAGGAUCCAAAUCCGCCGUAGAUGGAGGCGGAGCGUAUACUGUCGGACAUAAUCGGAAGGGAAAGGCAGUGGUCACGACGGAGCGGACGAGUGAGAAUCUCGGUGCAUCGUCUUCUGUUGCGUCGAAGAGUGAAAUCGAGCCACUUGAGACGAUCGUGGAUGAGAGGAAACGAAAGGAGAGAGAAGAAGUUGGCUCGACUGAGUGCCGGAACGAGGAGGCUAAACAAGGACGUGGAUCAUCAUCGACAAAGAGAUCUCGUGCUGCUGAAGUUCAUAAUCUCUCUGAAAGGAAACGGAGAGAUAGGAUCAACGAGAGGAUGAAAGCUCUUCAAGAACUCAUUCCUCGCUGCAACAAGUCAGAUAAAGCUUCAAUGCUUGAUGAAGCUAUUGAGUACAUGAAAUCUCUCCAGCUUCAAAUACAGUUUAUGACUGAGAUUUAUGCAGAUGAUGUCAAUGGGAUGUGGUAUGAUGCCGAUGAUGUACACCAGUAUGCAACAGUACAUGCCUCACAUGGCUAUGGGAAUGGGAAUGGGCGUGGAGAUGGGUAUGAACAGGCCUACUCCUCCUCCUCCUCCUCCGUUCAUGCCAUUCCCAAAUAUGUUAGCUUCUCAAAGACCUUUACCUCCUCAAACUCGUAUGGGCGGCUACCCUGCUGUUCAAGCUUCUGAUCCAUCAAGAGUAUAUGGACCAAACCAGCAGUUCGAUCCAAACUCGAGCCAGGCUCAGUUUUCGGGUUACAUGGAUCCAUUUCAGCAAUUCCGCAGUCUCCACCCGAGCCAACCACCUCAGUUUCAGAAUCAAGCAGCAUCGUACCCAAGUUCAAGCAGGGUAAGUAGUAGCAAGGAAUCCGAGGAUCAUGGAAACCAAACAACAAGUUGAUGAGGCCCUGAGGCAGAUGAUCUGUUUUCACAAGCAAUACACAAUUUUGAGAAAAUUGACAGAGAGAGAGACCUAACAUGUACAUCGCAGUUUCAUAUAUACAUAUGUAUUAUGUUCUUGUUGUUAUUCUCUCUUCCGGAUUGUAUACUACUUAGAGAUCUGUACAUGUAUCAGUUUCAUAUAUACCCAUAAAUUUAUUA